rnacentral:rRNA from 1 species
UUUUCAUUAGAACGAAACGUCAGUUAGAUGACCGAAGGCGAUCAGAUACCGCCCUAGUUCUAACCAUAAACGAUGCCAGCCAGCGAUGCGGCUGCGUUCCUCAAAUGACGCGCCGUGCAGCUUCCGGGAAACCAAAGCUUUUGGGUUCCGGGGGAAGUAUGGUUGCAAAGCUCGAACUUAAAGGAAUUGACGGAAGGGCACACAAGGAAUGGAGCCUGCGGCUUAAUUUGACUCAACACAGGAAAACUUUCCCGGUCCGGACACAGGAAGGAUUGACAGAUUAAGAGCUCUUUCUUGAUUCUGUGGGAGGUGGCGCAUGACCGCUCUUAGUUGGUGGAGUGAUUUGUCUGAUUAAUUUCGUUAACGAGCGAGACUCUAGCCUACUAAAUAGACGUUCCGAUCCUUGUCGUCGGACGUUCUUCUUAGAGGGACAAGCGGCGUUUAGCCGCACGAGACUGAGCAAUAGCAGGUCUGUGAUGCCCUUAGAUGUCCGGGGCCGCACGCGCGCUACAUUGAAGGAAUCAGCGUGUGCUUUCCCUGCCCGACAGGGCUGGGUAACCCGUUGAACCUCCUUCGUGCUGGGGAUAGGAAAUUGUAAUUAUUUUCCUUGAACGAGGAAUUCCUAGUAAGCGCGAGUCAUCAGCUCGUGUUGAUUACGUCCCUGCCCUUUGUGCACACCGCCCGUCGCUACUACCGAUCGAGUGAUUUAGUGAGGCCUUCGGACUGGCGCUCGGAUUGGCCUCUUGGUCGAGCCGAAGUGCCGGAAAGUUGGCCGAACUUGAUUACUUAGAGGAAGUAAAAG